rnacentral:rRNA from 1 species
AGGACUAACGCUGGCGGCGUGCCUAACACAUGCAAGUCGAACGAAGUAGCAAUACUUAGUGGCAGACGGGUGAGUAACACGUAGUCAACCUGCCCUUCAAUGGGGGAUAACUAGCCGAAAGGUUAGCUAAUACCGCAUACGAUCUCUGAGUGGCAUCACUCGGCGAUGAAAGGAGUAAUCCGUUGAAGGAGGGGACUGCGUCCCAUUAGUUAGUUGGUGGGGUAAUGGCCUACCAAGACUCCGAUGGGUAGCUGGCUUGAGAGAGCGACCAGCCACACUGGAACUGAGACACGGUCCAGACUCCUACGGGAGGCAGCAGUGAGGAAUUUUCCGCAAUGGGGGAAACCCUGACGGAGCGACGCCGCGUGUGGGAAGAAGGCCUUCGGGUCGUAAACCACUGUCGAGGGGGACGAUAUUGACGGUACCCCUGGACGGAAGCCCGGCUAACUACGUGCCAGCAGCCGC